GAUUCUCAAGGUGGUGUUGGUUCCACGACGAUCUCGAUUUCGCAUUUGAUUUCUUGAUUCUUGCUUUGCUUCGAUCCGAUGUUUGUUCCCUUAUCAUCACUAUUUCUUGGAGUUUAAUGCGACAUGUAACAAGUCGAGAAGGGGUUUUGCGGUUCUCUACCUGAAGGAUGGGUGUUCGAUUUUGUAUAUCGUUUUGCGCUUUCUUGUGCCUCCUUUUGACCUCUUGAUGCUAGCUUUGCUUUAAUCUUAUGCUUUGUCACCGUAUCUUGAAACAAAAUGUGAUCUGUAACAAGUAGAGAUGGGAUCUUGCAUCGUUCUCUUCUUAAACAAAACGACGUUGGGUGUUCGAUUUCCUACAUCAUUCUUUGCUGUAUUUGUUGUUCCAUUUGAUCUUUUGAUGCUUGGUUUGCUUCUGUCUCGUGUUUGUAACUUUGUUGUCACCGUUUCUUGAAGUUUAAUGCGACCUGUAACAAGUAGAGAAGGAUCCUGCGGUUCUCUUCAUUAAGGAAGUGAUGAUGGGUAUUCAAUUUUCGAGAUCAAUCUUCGGUUUCUUUAUUGUUCCAUUCCAUUCGAUCUGCUGAUGCUUGCUUUGGUUCAAAUCUUAUGCUUGUUUCCUUAUUGGCACCGCUUCUCGCCUCGAAGGAGAUGAUGAUGGGUAUUCGAUUUUGUAGAUCAUUCUUCGGUUUCUUUUCUGUUCCAUUUGACCUUUUCAUGCUUGCUUUGCGUCAAUCUUAUGUUUGUUUCCUCACUAUCACCGCUUCUUAAAGUACAAUGUGAUUGUAAUAAGUAGAGAAAGGAUCUUGCAGUUCUUUUCUCAAAGGAAAAGAUGAUGAGCAUUUGAUCCAUUUGAUCUCUUAAUGCUUGCUUUUCUCCACGUUUAAUGUGGUCUGUAACCAUUGGAGAAAUGAUCUUUCGGUUCUCUUCUUGAAGGAAAAUAUAAUGAGCUGGAGAUCAAUCGCCAGUCUGUCUCUGUUUUGAGUGUCUAUUCAACUUCAAGUUUAUUCUUGUUUUACUGUUCUUUUCUUUUUUGUUGCAGAAGAACUUACUUGUCGCCCUUUAUAUAAAAUCAUUGAAUGCAACUAUUUGUUCUUCUUUAUCAUAAGACGUAGGCAAUUCUUUCCUCGAAUACGAGGUGAAGUUUAGUGGGAUUUGAGUUCAGUCAUGCUGAGCGUAUACUCAGUACUCACCCAAAGCUUAACAGUUGGGUGGGUGAUGCGCUAUGCUUCUAGCCUAGGCAAAUGUGUGACAUGGCACUUCACAAGGGGACUCUACUUAUUUCUUGAAGGUGCAGCUCUUGCUAGUCUGCCAAGCUCCAAAAGACAUUGGUGCCUCUGUACUUUUUAAAGCUUGAUUUAGUGAGCCAAAGAUGUUUUGGAUUAUAAUUAGGUUGAAGAUGUUUGGAAGUAUAGAUUUCUAGGUGCAGCCAAUUACUUUUUUUAAAAAAAAUUCUUGUAAUAUUCUUUACAUUAUGAACCUAGAUGAGAAACUGCUAGACACUCGAGAAAUGACUGUCCAGUUGUAUUUUUGUUUAAGGUGAUGAACAAGAAACGAAUAAGGUACAUGAUAAAAACAAAUUUUGUUAAGAAAAUAGACUUUUUAUGUAUUACAUGCAUAGAGUUAGAUAUUUGAGACCUUAAUGCAUUAGGCCAAAUAUUACUUGGUUUUUCUUAGUGAUGGUUAUUGUUGAUGAUAAGAUAUACUGUUUGUUAUUCCUUUUUCUGUCUUUGCUUAACGCAUAUAGAUGUUGAAUUCUUUGCUGUUUUACAUUUAACAUGUAAAAUAAAAAGUGUCUAGCUGUUUCUGGAUUAAAAGGAUACAUAAUGUACAGUAAGGAAUUUUUGGAUCUUUAGUGUCAUUCUAGUUGAGAAUUUUACUGCUAUGCUCAUUAUCACUUUAUAUAAUUAUAUUUUGUAGCUUAAUGUUUCCUCUAGCUAAUUAUAGUCCUGAAAUAACCAAACUUAUGUUCCAAUUCUUCUCUUCCAUAAUUAGAAAUCUGGUUUGCAGGGAUCCAAUUGAGAAUUCUGGUAAUUAGAAUGAUAUCAAAUAUCUAGUAUACUUACAUAAUUCUAUAGAAAAAGAAUAUGGUCAACUGAAAGAUGGAUACUCACUUAAGAUCAUUGUUGGGCUUAUGGCAAUUAGUUGAGUUGGUUAUUAUCCUUCUUUCUGUCUCACACAUUUUCUCACAAAGUUCGUUCUGUCUGCAUUCUUCAUUUUAUUGGACUUGUACAUUAGUUUGCUAUAUCUCUAGCUGACAUAAAGACUAUGUAUAUGUAUAUCGUUCAUAGGUUAAAUACUUAACGUAUGUAAUUGGAGAUUUGACUCCCAGAUUUAAGCAAAGACAUAUGAGAUCUUCUAGGUGCAGAGAGGGUGUCUUCUUUGCUUAAUCUUAGGAAAUUCUUUUAACUACUCAUGCAGAUAUAUCAGAAAAACUUUGGAAAUUAUUACUUGAAAAUGAUGCAUCAGAAUAAAAUCUGAGUUAGUAUAAUCUGUAAGAAAAGUUAAGCUAUAACAUAGAAGAUUGAGGAAUCAAGAUUAAAUGAAGAGUUACCUCUUUAAAACCUUCAUAAAUCAGAAGCUUAAUGUUUUUCACAUAUAUGGUGCUUAGUAUUCAUGAAAAGUUGAAUGGUGUAUUUCUGUGUUCUUGUCAUAAAGUAAAUAUAUUUUGGGUGGUUUCUUAUGGAACAGAAAAGGGUCUGAGAUUGAUUGCAGUAAGAGAUAAGGAUAGCAGCUCCACUAUCAUUGUUGAAGUGAUAAAGUUUGUCUUUAUGAUACCAAGGUUGAGCAGCAGGAUGUUUAUCACCAUUGAGAAAAGAGUAUAUAUGUUGCCACAAUUAAUCUUCCUUAUGCAGAGGCCAAACUUAUUUGAUAGCCCGAGGAUGUCUCUGUCUAACUUAACCCUAUGCUUUUUACGUUUUAUGAAUGCUGGGGUCACCAAGUGACCAUCCUUUUCCUUUGACUGAUAACCCAAGGAUGUCUCUGUCUAACUCAACCCAAGGUUGGUUGAAGGAUAAAACAAGAAAAAUAAAGAAAAUGGCUCUUGGAUUAUAGUAGGAUUGGCGAGGGCAAUGCUAAGAAAGCGAACUUCAUCACUGAGUAUGUUAUCUUCAAAAAGAAGGCCCUGAGAUUAAAGAACUGCAAACCCAAUGGUUUGCACACUCGCAAAGGAUGGAUUUUAUGAGGUAUCUUGAUGGAAAAAGCUCCGGAAAAGUUGGUGGAACCAUCUUGCAUCCAUUAUACAAAUUUAUCAGAACAAGGAGGUGCCGGAUGCACAAAGAUUCCAAGAGACAUAAGUAUCACACAAAUGGUGUUAUCUUAAUAUAUGUUACUAAUAUAUUGCUAAAGCUCAAACAAUUGCUAAAGUGUUG